GAUGAAGAACGUAGCAAAAUGCAAUAAGUAAUGUGAAUUGCAGAAUUCAGUGAAUCAUCGAAUCUUUGAACGCACAUUGCGCCCGCCAGUAUUCUGGCGGGCAUGCCUGUUCGAGCGUCAUUUCAACCCUCAAGCACAGCUUGGUGUUGGGACUCGCGUUAAUUCGCGUUCCCCAAAUUGAUUGGCGGUCACGUCGAGCUUCCAUAGCGUAGUAGUAAAACCCUCGUUACUGGUAAUCGUCGCGGCCACGCCGUUAAACCCCAACUUCUGAAUGUUGACCUCGGAUCAGGUAGGAAUACCCGCUGAACUUAAGCAUAUCAAUAAGCGGAGGA
rnacentral:misc_RNA from 1 species